GGGGUUGUGACUCAAUGGUAGAGAGCUUACCUAGCAUGCUUGAGGCACUGGGUUCAAUCCCCAGGGCCACA
rnacentral:tRNA from 1 species